AACUUAGAAGUGGUUGAUGUUCUGGGGUGAUUCAGCAAUGUUUGAACACGAUGUUCAAACAAGCCGCCACUGAGCCAUGGAUGGCGAAUUGGCGGCGGUUGCGUACGUCAGUAAUAACUACAGCAGAACAUCUAGCACUUCUUAGUUU
rnacentral:ncRNA from 1 species